ACACACCAACACUGCCAGGUGGAACCUGAAAAGUUAUCCUUACAAUAGCUGUCUCUAUAGGAGUCACUGGACUGUCAGAGUGGAGAGGAAAGGAUAGGAAGGGGCAGGCUGAGGGCAACACUCAAAUGGACAGCAUCCCUCUUCAAUGCCAGGGUUGGGCUUCUUUGUCUAGGAGAGUACAUGAACCAGGAUAGCCAUACAGAAGAGUCAGACCUCCAAAGCUGAGGCAGAAAUAAGGAUUUUGUCACAAAACAGACCUAAGCGUAGUGUGGCUGGUAAUAUGUAGAAGAUGCUGAUGCUGGGAGCCUCAUCUGUCUGGGUUGUAUUUUCCAAAACACAAUUGCAGUGCUGUAACCUGAUGAAGAGGCAAUGGCAUUUCACAAUGUGUACUCCAUUCACAGCUACCUGCUUAAAAUGUGGAAGGUGGAGGGGAUGCCUGACGGGCUAUUCUGGAGGGUUAAAUACAAAUCAUCACACUGCUUUAUUGGAUAAGCUUCUCUACAUCGGCAGAUCACGUGCUUGGGAGACCAAAUCAGCUCACAUCUCCGGCAGUGGCAGUGGCUUUGGCACGGCUAUCCAGGAUUUCACGUCAGAAUUGAGGAAAAAUUUGCCACAAAAUUGGAGGAAAUAUGAUUUGAAAAUGGAAGGACGGGCAGUGAAAAUUUUGUAUUGGGAUGCUGAGAUAUCAAUGCUGAGAUGCAUUAGAGUAAUAAAGAUCUAUGAUUUGGA